CCUGUGGCUGAAGCCACAGGCUAUAUUACUUCAAUCCCUUCAGGAUU
rnacentral:sRNA from 1 species